rnacentral:rRNA from 1 species
AUUGAACGCUGGCGGAAUGCUUUACACAUGCAAGUCGAACGGCAGCACGGACUUCGGUCUGGUGGCGAGUGGCGAACGGGUGAGUAAUGUAUCGGAACGUGCCCAGUCGUGGGGGAUAUCGUAGUGAAAAUUACGCUAAUACCGCAGACGAUGUAUGGAUGAAAGCGGGGGAUCGCAAGACCUCGCGCGAUGGGAGCGGGCGAGAUCAGAUUAGGUAGUUGGUGGGGUAAAGGCCCACAAAGCCAACGAUCUGUAGCUGGUCUGAGAGGACGACCAGCCACACUGGAACUGAGACACGGUCCUGACUCCUACGGGAGGCAGCAGUGGGGAAUUUUGGACAAUGGGCGAAAGCCUGAUCCAGCCAUUCCGCGUGCAGGAUGAAGGCCCUCGGGUUGUAAACUGCUUUUGUACAGAACGAAAAGGUUUCUACUAAUACUAGGAGCUCAUGACGGUACUGUAAGAAUAAGCACCGGCUAACUACGUGCCAGCCGCCGCCGUAA